UUUUCUUUUCUUUCUCUAUUUUUUGAUUUGGGAUCGUUCUCUGUCACCCAGGCUGGAGUGCAGGGGCACAAUCUUGGCUCACUGCAACCUGGAACUCCUGGGCUCAAGUGAUCCUCCCGUCUCAGCCUCUCGAGUAGCUAGGACUAUGGCCAUGUGCCACUACACCCUCUAAGUUUUCUUUUUCUUUUUUUUUUUUCUGUAGAGAUGGAGUCUUGGUAUGUUGGCCAGGCUGGUCUCAAAUUCCUGGGCUCAAGUGAUCCUCCCGCCUCAGCCUCCCGGAUUGCUGAGACUGCAGGCCUCUUUCGGGUGGUCAUUCUGGCUGGCUGCAGGAGCCUCUUGGAAGAUGCAAAUGGAUGAAACAACAGAAAACUGUGCUGCAAAAGGCCGAUGCUCUGUGUAUGGCCUCUCAAAAGAUGUGAAACUAGGGGGAAAAACAAUACCGUUCUUACCCUUUUCCUGGGCACCGCAGAGCCCUGUGAUUCUGCUCACACCUGCAAUCACCACCGCCUGAUGUUCCGCUCUCAGAUGCCCCAGGGACUAUCCAGCCUGCAAGCCCAGGGCCUGUGUCCUGAGUCAGUAAUCAGCUUCCCCUCUGGAUUCACCUCUGAAUUCCAAAAUGGGUUGUCUGGGAACUUCAUCAACUUCAUGACUUCCAUGUUCAAUGGGAAAGUCAGCCUGCCUGGCCAAAGCAACAGUGAAAUAUGGGUUAACGUUACAACAAUGUAAUGCUGAUUUAGAUGUCAGUUUAAUAGAUGAUGGGUGGUAUUAGAAAGCACCUUCAGCCGGGCACGGUGGCUCGCGCCUGUAAUCCCAGCACUUUGGGAGGCCGAGGCGGGCAGAUUGCCUGAGGUCAGGAGUUCAAGACCAUCCUGGCUAAUAUGGUGAAACUCUGUCUCUACUAAAAAUACAAAAAUUAGCCGGGCGUGGUGGCUGGUGCCUGUAGUCCCAGGUACUUGGGAGGCUGAGGCAGGAGAAUUACUGGAACCCAGGAGGCAGAGGUUGCAGGGAGCUGAGAUCACGCCACUGCACUCCAGCCUGGGCAAGAGGGCAAGACUGUCUCCAAGAAAAGCAAAAGAAAAAGGAAAAAAAAAAAAGAAAAGAAAGCGCCUUCAAGGCCAUCUGUUUCUCUGCUACUACCCUUUUUGGAAAGACAAAUCUCCUUCCCCUCCCUGUCCUCCUUCCUUCUACAUUCCCCUAGGGCUGUGUACCUCUCUCUCAGCGUGCCCUGCCUUGGUGCCUCUGUGGCAGGGCCAGGUCUGACUUCCCAGAUGAGCUUGCUCUCCUAAGCUGCAUCAUUGCAUGACUCUCCUCUUUCCUAACCUCCCUCACUCCUCCAGCUCCCUUCUGCUGGUGAAUGACAUCUCUUCACGCCACACAGUCACAGGACGGCUGCUCCACCACCGGCAUCACAUCUCCUUUCCAGGCAGGAAGAAGAGGAAGGAGGAAGAGACAGGACAAAGGUGCCUCUCCGGACUCACACAUCUUUUCUCUCUGGGCGCC
rnacentral:lncRNA from 10 species